CUGGCCUCCAAAAUUGUGAGAAAAUACAUUUCCAUUGCUCGAGCCCUCCACUCUGAUAUUUUGUUAUGACAGCCCUAGCCAACCAAUAUAGUUGGACAGUGCUACUUUGCUGGACAUCCAUUUGGUAAAUUCUAUGGUGCCAUGCUCAUUUUCCAAAAUUAAGCAGAGAGAAACCACUUCUUACAAAAGGAGCCAGCUGAGAAGAAGUCCUUUUCUUUCUUUGCAAAAGGGCAGGGUAAGUCAAGAGUAUUUAUACUCUGAAACAAACUGUUUGUUGUAGAAGAAAGCUGGAUAUCUGGAGAUUCAGAAACUGUUCCCAUUUUUAAUAGCAUUGCGAGAAUCACUUUUCGCCUUAGUUUUUCCAUCUGCAACAUGGUGGCAGUGCCUGUCUCUUUCAGCACCUAUUACAGAGUAGAUGCCCAAUAAAUUCCUUCAGUCAAUAUUACUGAGUGCCUAGUAAAGGCCAGACAUUGUUCUUAUGAUUAGGGAUCCAGAAAUGAACCAAAUAAGCAGUUCUUAUGCUCUCUAGUGGGGGAGAAGGUAGUAAACAAAUGAAUAUAUGAUAUUGGGGUAUGCACAUCCCAGAUCCACUUGUCCCCAUCUGUGCCCUAGGUCUAAGCCAGUAGUCAACCCAGCACCAACUCACACAGUUCCCUUAAUCGUAAAGCCCCAUCUUCCACCCAACUCCUUGGGGACUGGGGGACCACAGCAACUCCUGUGCCCAAGUCAGAGUGCCUACUGGAUCUGGGUAAUAAGACAGAAGUUUUAAACAAAGAAUACAAGGCUAAGUUGCUCUGGACAGUUAGGCACUAACUAAACCAGGGGAGGGAGAGUAAAGAAACAAAAGUUUACCUGGCUGGGCUUGGGGGAGAGCCAGGAAAGAUUGGAAAGUUUGGGAAGUGGGAAGAAAAAGUCUUUGGGGCAGCAACUAUGUAUGGUUGAUGCUGAGAAUGAGAUAUAUGGGAGUGGGGGUGAUUGGCUGUUCAUUUUAAAUCUACUCAUUCUUCUGAGGCUGCUAUUCCCUUGACUCAGGCCGCCUGUGGGGUUUCCUAGUGGGAAGACCUUGCUCCGUAGGGGUUUAGGCUGAGAAGUCACGUGUUUUAAUCUGGUUCAGGUUUCCCCUUUAAGACUCUUCAACAUCAGAAACAAUCGUGCCCUGAAACACCCUGUGAAACCCUCCAAAUGGCAAAGGGCAGCGCUCAAAGCAACCCAGGGUCUUCUGAUUUGCUCUCUCCUUCACCUCUCCACAGUCCUUCAGGUACUUCCAGUACUGGAGAAGCUAUCCUACCAAUAACAGUCUUUAACUAUAGGAGAACGCUGACCUCUCAAAAGAGUAAAUUUAUUUAAAUCUUAAUGAGUCAUAACAAUUUUGUGUCAUCUUCGUUUUAUGGAAAUCUAAGUGGGAAAAAAAAAUCCUUAUGCAGAGGGAAUGAGAAAUAGGUACUGAACGAAAUGUGAUAAACAUUCUCCCUUCUGUUAAAUUUUAUUACUCUGCAACAGACUCAAGUCAACACAACUAAAAAGCAAGGCAAGUUAAGUUUGAGAUUUCACAGUGGCUCUUUUAAAGGUCUGUUGUGGGGGGCACUUGGGUGGCUCAGUGGUUGAGCAUCUGCCUUUGGAUCAGGU
rnacentral:lncRNA from 1 species